CCACCCCCGGGGUGCCCACACCUUCCCCUGGGCACCUCAUCCCCUGGGGGCAGCACCCACGCCGGCUGCCGCCCGGGGUGAUCCACAGCAUCCCACUGAAAUUCUAGCUCCGGCCUCCGUAGCAGAUGGAGAUAAGGACAAAACUACUCCCUCGCUCAUAAACAAGGGGCCAGAUUCUGCCGCCAGCAUCCGGCAGGCAAUACCCGAGCCAGCGAGGCCAAAUGCAGCCACAAAGCAGCUCCGAUCGCCACCAGCAUCCGGCAGCCUGCCCGCGGUACGGGGAGCGGGGAGCACAGAUCAGCCCCGGCUUCUCCUUUUACCUGGGGCCGGUGUGAACCCCGGCAGCGCAGGAGGAGCGACGCGGAGCAAAGGCGGCUCGGGGAAAUGGGAUCCCCUCCUGGGGCCAGUAUCAAAGGCACAUGCAAAAGGGAAAAUAAAAGACCGACUUCCCCCACCCCCCCCCCGUCCCUCGUCCCCGUCCCUGCUGCAAACAAAGGCAAACCUGGGCAUAGCAGUGCACAUGUGAAACACAAGCCCCCUGAGACCCCAGGCCAGCUGAGAGCCCUCCGGCCCCAUGGGACCCCCGGGGACCAGCGCCAUGCACAGACUUGAGUGACAGAGAUGCCCAAACCGAGACACGGGGCCCAUGAUGAAAACCAGGAGAAAAACCCACCCUGGGGAAAGCAGCGCCGGGGAGGUACCUGUGCCAGACCGCCAGUGCACCCCAACCGUGGCCAUCCCAACACCGCCCUGCCUGGGAGGUGACAGGUCGCUUCUGGAGCCCCAUGCAGACCGAGGACAGGCCCACAAAGAAAAACAGCGCGAUAGAUGAGCUGGGUUUCCCAGGAGAAAAGCCGGAGCGGGGAGCAGCGGAGCCCCGGCCGCCGCGCUGCACAGAGCCGUCUUUCAUUACAAAGGGCCGGGAAGCGGCUCGGAGCUGCCAGCAGCACUGACACGAUGCAUGAGGGGAUUUUUCAGGCUGAUGCAGCAACAAAGGCAGUUAAAUCUAGCCAGGGGGAAUUAUUUUUGUUAAUCCGCAUGUUGCUGCUCGUUGGGCGCUGGAGCAUAAGUAAGCAGGUAAGCGGCACUUUCAUCCCCAGCCUGGCUUCCCACCACGGCCAGGACUCCAGUGAGGGGCUUUGAGCCUCAAAGAGAAGGAGAGAGGCUGGGCCAAGGCAGCUGGAGCAGCGCUAAGCUCACAGCAGCUGGGAAUUCCUUCUUUUUUUUGACUGAAGUGAUGGCAGUGGGAAGCUACCUGGAGAUGAGUGGCUUCCACAGCAAGCACCUGCUGCACUGCUGGAGUCUGGGUGCUGUAAGGUAUCGUCGGGUGGUUCAGGGUGCUGGCAUCCCCCUGGAGUCACCUGCUGCCUGGUCCCUCCUGGCUGGGCAGAGGGGUGCUGGGAGUGGGAAAGCCACCCAUGACACUUGUAUCCAUCACUGCCAAGGAGCCCAGCACCCCUGUGUAGGGAGAGUUGGGUGCUGUGACCCUGUGGCAGGAGGACGCUCCCAUUGCUGGCUCUGCAGGGAGCCCGUGUGGCUCAGGCAUCUCAGUGGGACAUUUUGGGGAUGGACUAAGGAUGAAGCUCAGACCCUGGAGCCUAUUGGAGACCAGGAGGGUAUUUUCAAAGGGAUCUAUGUUCCUGGAGACCUGUGUGCCAGCCCCAGUCCUCCCUAGGGACACACCCUGGGCCAGGUGGGCUUUGCCCUGGGCAGCUGCCUUCCCGCAGUCUGGCUGAGUGGAGGAUGCACCAGUGGCUCAUGGCUGAACACCUUCUCCCAGCACUGCAUCAGCAGGUGGGGUGUGACACGACCCCAGAGGCUGCAAUGAGCCGUGCUGGCACAGGCAGUGCCAGCUCAGUGAGCUGUGCUGCCAUGAAGGGACCCGUGGCCCCUCGCCACGCUGGGGUUGUGGCUGUGACAAGAUGGCCACAACUCCUCUCCCUGAUGGAGCCUGUCAUCUGGUCCUUCUUCUGGUGGCAGCUCCUCAGACAUCACCCUGCUGAGCCUGGGAGACCCUGCAUUGAUCCAGCUGGUGCAGUGGUGUGGUAGCACAGGCUCCAUCCGUCCUCUGAUGAUGCCUUUGCACCACCCCAGGCCACGUGCAUGACAGUGCUGGCUGCUCUCUGCAGUGCAUGCUCACACCCUGCUCUGGUUAACAGUGCAGCCACACCGAGCUGCCCAGCACCCUGCCUGGGGGCCUGAGCCCUGCCUCGGUGUGGGCGAAGGCAACCGAGGAUCCCUCUUCCUCCACAUCCUCCUUCUCCUCUCCCCCUGCCCAGUCGGCAUCCGCUGCUACAACAAGAUUAAACCAAUUGCACCGUUA